AUUGAACGCUGGCGGAAUGCUUUACACAUGCAAGUCGAGCGGCAGCACGGGGGCAACCCUGGUGGCGAGCGGCGAACGGGUGAGUAAUACAUCGGAACAUGCCCAGUCGUGGGGGAUAACACUUCGAAAGAAGUGCUAAUACCGCAUACGUCCUGAGGGAGAAAGCGGGGGAUCUUCGGACCUCGCGCGAUGGGAGUGGCCGAUGUCAGAUUAGCUAGUGGGUGGGGUAAAGGCCUACCAAGGCAACGAUCUGUAGCUGGUCUGAGAGGAUGAUCAGCCACACUGGGACUGAGACACGGCCCAGACUCCUACGGGAGGCAGCAGUGGGGAAUUUUGGACAAUGGGGGCAACCCUGAUCCAGCCAUUCCGCGUGAGUGAAGAAGGCCUUCGGGUUGUAAAGCUCUUUCGGCAGGAACGAAACGGCGAGCUCUAACAUAGCUUGCUAAUGACGGUACCUGAAGAAGAAGCACCGGCUAACUACGUGCCAGCAGCCGCCGUAAAAC
rnacentral:rRNA from 1 species